GAUCAAUUAAUCUAAUAUGACUUGCUCAUGUUGGUUCACUCUCAACUUGAUUGAGGAGGUUUUAAUUUAGGUCUCAAUUGGGUUUGCUACAUUAUAUGUAAACCUAUCUACCCGACUCUCAUUCACAUCACAUGCAAACGGCACAUUAUAGGCAGUUAUAAUCGCAGCAAUAAUUAAAGCUAAACUUUAAGUAGGUGAUGAUCAUGAAUUCUAAAUUAGGUCGUAUUACAAGCACAUGCACGUCAAUCGAUCAACUGGUCUUCAACUCUUGAAUUGGUUCCAAGCCUCCUUGACUCGAUCCUU
rnacentral:lncRNA from 1 species